rnacentral:tRNA from 1 species
GAAAUAUGAAAUUCAAGAAAAAGCUGCUAACUUUUUUCUUUAGUGGUGAAAUUCCAUUAAUAUUUCU